UACGAAGGGUGCUAGCGUUGUUCGGAAUCAUUGGGCGUAAAGGGCGUGUAGGCGGUUUUGUUAAGUCAUGUGUGAAAUCCCUCGGCUCAACCGGGGAACGACGCAUGAAACUGGCAAGCUAGAGUACCAAAGAGGGGGGGUGGAAUUCCCGGUGUAGCAGUGAAAUGCGUAGAGAUGCGGAGGAACACCGAUGGCGAAGGCAGCCCCCUGGGCUAACACUGACGCUGAGGCACGAAAGCGUGGGGAGCAAACAGG
rnacentral:rRNA from 1 species